rnacentral:rRNA from 1 species
AUUGAACGCUGGCGGAAUGCUUUACACAUGCAAGUCGAACGGCAGCACGGGGGCAACCCUGGUGGCGAGUGGCGAACGGGUGAGUAAUACAUCGGAACGUGCCCAGUCGUGGGGGAUAACGUAGCGAAAGUUACGCUAGUACCGCAUACGAUCUACGGAUGAAAGCGGGGGACCGUAAGGCCUCGCGCGAUUGGAGCGGCCGAUGUCAGAUUAGGUAGUUGGUGAGGUAAAGGCUCACCAAGCCGACGAUCUGUAGCUGGUCUGAGAGGACGAGCAGCCACAAUGGGACUGAGACACGGUCGAGACUCCUACGGGAGGCAGCAGUGGGGAAUUUUGGACAAUGGGCGAAAGCCUGAUCCAGCCAUUCCGCGUGCAGGAUGAAGGCCCUCGGGUUGUAAACUGCUUUUGUACAGAACGAAAAGGUUUCUACUAAUACUAGGAGCUCAUGACGGUACUGUAAGAAUAAGCACCGGCUAACUACGUGCCAGCCGCCGCGGUAA